GAUGAACGCUGGCGGCGUGCCUAAUACAUGCAAGUCGUGCGAACAGACGAGGAGCUUGCUCCUCUGACGUUAGCGGCGGACGGGUGAGUAACACGUGGAUAACCUACCUAUAAGACUGGGAUAACUUCGGGAAACCGGAGCUAAUACCGGAUAAUAUAUUGAACCGCAUGGUUCAAUAGUGAAAGACGGUUUUGCUGUCACUUAUAGAUGGAUCCGCGCCGCAUUAGCUAGUUGGUAAGGUAACGGCUUACCAAGGCAACGAUGCGUAGCCGACUUGAGAGGGUGAUCGGCCACACUGGAACUGAGACACGGUCCAGACUCCUACGGGAGGCAGCAGUAGGGAAUCUUCCGCAAUGGGCGAAAGCCUGACGGAGCAACGCCGCGUGAGUGAUGAAGGUCUUCGGAUCGUAAAACUCUGUUAUUAGGGAAGAACAAAUGUGUAAGUAACUAUGCACGUCUUGACGGUACCUAAUCAGAAAGCCACGGCUAACUACGU
rnacentral:rRNA from 1 species